UACGAAGGGGGCGAGCGUUGUUCGGAAUCACUGGGCGUAAAGGGCGCGUAGGCGGUACUUCAAGUCAGGCGUGAAAGCCCCGGGCUCAACCUGGGAACCGCGCUUGAGACUGGGGAACUAGAGUUCGGGAGAGGAUGGUGGAAUUCCCAGUGUAGAGGUGAAAUUCGUAGAUAUUGGGAAGAACACCGAUGGCGAAGGCAGCCAUCUGGACCGACACUGACGCUGAGGCGCGAAAGCGUGGGGAGCAAACAGG
rnacentral:rRNA from 1 species